AGUAUAGUUAAAUGCAAGAUGGGUUCAAAACUUGUUUUCAGCAUCAUGUUUUGCGUUUUGUUUCAUCUUGCAAUGGCAUUUCCUCCGAAUCCACCUGCUGUGCCUGUCAUGAAAUUCUGUAAAACAUGUAAUCAAAGUUUGGAAGAGAGGAACAUGGCAUGGGAAACAUGCACUAGCAUCCUAGAUCAAGCUGAGUGUAAUCUGAAUCCGUCAUGCGUCUUUGGUCAAUAUAUCUGUUUCUUGGAUUUGAACAGUGUGAAAUAAAAUGAAAUUCUGA